UUGUUGUUGUGGUUGCGAAUGGCGUUCUGGCGAAGGUAGCAUUGCGUACCGAAAUGAAUAAUCAGCAUCGCUUCAGUGGACGAGAAGUUCAUCUCCUGAAAGAUAUAUGCCUGGAUGCUCUUACUGGCUGCUCAGAAGCGGAAUGGAUUCAGCACGUCGUACUGCCACCAACCCUUGCUGAUUAUUAUUAUACACGGCUACAGAGGCGACAGUCUAUUAACGACCAUCUUGUGCCAUUGGUCUUGCACGCCAAGUCCCUUGAAGCUGACUUGUCUGGGAGCCCGGUUACAGGAGGCGCACUCAUUCACCUCAGACCAUGCACUUGGCUCAAAAAGCUGACUUUCUCUUCAGUGCCUUCAGAUAACACUCCGUCCGAAAUGAGUCUCUUGGAAACUUUCAAGUGCUUUCACAAGUUGGAGUGGCUUGAAUUGAGUGGGGUCAGUGGGGUCACGGAUGCUGUCCUUGAAACUGUGGCAAAGCAGAACAAACACCUCACAGUUGUUAAACUGAAUAGGUGUGUGAACCUAGGUGAUGAUGGCCUCAAUGCGCUGGGGCAGAACUGCCAUUUCUUGAAGUCAGUUGACUUCUCUUCAACUCAGAUAACUUCUCGUGGUUUGGAUGCCUUAGUGAAAGGUCCCUGCAGCGUCACCUUAGAGGAGUUCCUUGCCAAUCAAUGCAGCAAGCUUGGAGCCGAUGCAGUGAUGACCCUCAUGACCAACUGCCCAUCACUGCAAAUACUGAGCUUGGCAGAUUGCCGCCAGAUACUGUUUGAAUGUCCUGACAGUUCCACAUCAAUUUCUUUCUUGACUCCUGUGUGAGCUUUGUCAUCACCCAGCGUCCAAUUUUGUCGACACCUGUCUUCAAUUACUCAACCUUUGGCAAUUACUUAUGCAAACCCCUGAGGCAGUACCAGUGAGAAUGGAGAGGAAGGGCCAGUUAUCGUGGUUCGUCUUCUGUUGACUGUCACUAGGAGGUGUGCUUCACCACAAGAUGCCUGUGGUCUGCAUUUAUCACUGUCUCUGGCAAACAGCUGGCACGGAACCGGCACCUUUCAGUUUUAAAUGCGAAGUAUUUCUUGGCGAACAUUUGCUACUUUGACAGUAUCUAUCUAUCUAUCUAGCCGCCUACGUCUUGGUGCUCUCAUGGUCGUAUCGUUAAGUUGAUAUUUACCAAAAUUGGCAUACUAUGACAAGAUUGUAUGACGAACAUAAAUGAUAGGUCAUGACAUGAAUAUCAUGACAUGUGUGUCAUGUAGGUCAUGAAAUAGCUGCCUACGGCUUGGUGCUCUCAUGGUCGUUCCGUUAACUUGGUAGGUACUGUUGUCAUACUAUUAUCAUAGUAUGACAACAGUGCAUGACGAACAUAAAUGAUAGGUCAUGACAUGCGUGUCAUGCAGGUCAUUAAACAGCCGCCUAAAUUGGCAAUGACCCAGUGAAAAAACAUUAACACUCAAAAAACACUGAAAUGAGUUCGCACGCGGGGGACUAAGUGAAGGCAACAGUAAAGGGUGAUGCUAGAAGUCAUAGUCAUGAGCAUGACUCAGCAGAAAUGACGACUCAGCGAAAAAAGUUUAACUUGGAAACCACUGAAAUGGGUUCUGACGUGGGUACUAAGUGAAGGAAACACUAAAAGAUGGUGCUAGAAGUCAUAGUCAUGAGCAUGACUCAGCAAAAAUGACAAUGACUCAGUGAAAAAAAGAUUAACACUCAAAAACCACUGAACUGGGUUCGGACGUGGGUACUAGAGCACUGCACGGGCCUGAUUUUUCGGCCCGAGCACGACCCGGGCCCGCUUUACGAGGCCCGAGCCCAGCCCGGGCCCGUAAUACAAAGCUCGAGCCCGGCCUGGGCGUACAUGACCGAGACCAGCCCGUGCGUACAUGACCGAGACCAGCCCGGGCCCGACCCAGGCCCGUGUUACUGAGCCCGGCCCGGGCCCGGGCGUUCAUUACUAAGCUUAGCUAGGGCUCGCGUGUGCAUGACCAGGCCAGGCCUGUAAGAAAAAAAAAUCUUUUUUUUACUGGCCUAAUGGAUGGUCAAAACGCCUAAUUGAAUAUUUAACAUAAUUACACGAAUUACCUUUUUAAUUAAUUAUUUUACGGCACAUCUUUCAAUCUACGAAUUAUAGCCACUGAGCUCGCAAGACUUGGAACGAAUUCUCAGGACUGAACCAGUUUCGAUACAUUAAUUUUCAAAAUGUCCGACGAAAUGCAUGGGCGUUCCAGUUAACUUUUUGAGGAAAACGCUGUUUUAUGCAUUGAAGCACAAAAGUAACUGGCCUUAGCUCUAAAAUAAUGCCAUAGUAUCGAAACUGGUAAUAGUGCGAUCACAAAAGCGGUAACAUGGAAAUGGUUUCAGGAGUGGUUCUUUGUAUAAUUUAUUUUUCCUUACGCGGAAACAAUGUUCGUUUUUGCAGAAAAGAAAAAAAAAUUAGUGUAGCUUGCACUGGGGCGGCGCAAUGCUAAAGAGACAGCGGAGCUGAUGGGCACCUAGCUAGUCGCUUUUGGGCUAGGCUAAGCACUACCAAGUCAUCCCCAGCAUUUCCCGGAAUUUUUUUAUUAUUGAUUGAUUAUUGAUUAGCUAUUGAUUGCCUAUCGAUUGUCUAUUGCAAGAUAUUGGCCACGUAUUUGGGAUAGGCUAAGCACUACCAAGUUAUCCGAAUUUAUUGAUUAUUGAUCCAUUAUCGAUUAGCUAUUGAUUGGUUGUCGAUUGGCUAUCGUAAGGUAUUGGCCACGUAUUUGGACUAGGCUAAAGUCAUUCCCAGCAUUUUCAGGAAUUUAUUGAUUAGUGAUUGAUUAUUGACUAGCUAUUCAUUGGCUAUCAAUUUCCUAUCGAUAGGCAAUUAGUUCCCACCAUUUUUAGCUAGAAUUAACCAGGCUCAGCUGGUGUAUGUGCUACUGCGCUUGGACCCUUUCUGCACUGCUGCCAGGAUCGGCCCACAUUUUUGGAUUCAGCGGACACAUUAGGCCCGGCUGAAACAGCUCCACUGUUAAAAAUGAGAACUUCAUCUGUUUUACUAUUUUCUUUCAUAAGAUAUAGUCAUCUGAUAAGAUAUACAGUCAAGAGAGCGGUGUGGAUCUGAGAACAAACGGGGAUAACCGAUAUUCUACUUGACAUUAAGCGGAAAAAAUGGAGCUGGGCAGGCCAUGUAAUGCGUAGGAUCGAUAACCGAUGGACCAUUAGAGCUACAGAAUGGAUACCAAGAGAAGGGAAGCGCAGUCCAGGACGGCAGAAAACUAGGUAGGGUGAUGAAGUUAGGAAAUUCGCAGGCGCAAAUUGGAAUCAGCUAGCGCAAGACAGGGUUAAUUGGAGAUCGCAGGGAUAGGCCUUCGUCCUGCAGUGGACAUAAAUAUAGGCUGGUGAUGAUGAUGACAGUCAUCUUGCACGUGUCACUUCAGCUUGGCACAGAAUGCAUUGAACCAUGCAAUGCACAACGGUCGCGUGUGCUCGAAGGCCUACUUAGGCCCUUCAAUGAGCGGGCCCGCGUCUGGCCCGCGGCCUCAAGCCCGAGCCCGACCCGGGCCCGUGGCUUUAAGCCCGGGCCCGGCCCGAGCCCGCCGACAAACGCUUCGGACGGCCCGGCCCGACCCGCGGGCCGGGCCUGGGCUUUCGGGCCGGCCCGGGCCCAUGCAGUGCUCUAGUGGGUACUAAGUGAAGGAAAAGGCUAAAGGUCAAUGGUUGAAGUCAUUGUCUUGAGCAUGGUGGUAGAAAGUCAUAGUCAUGGGCAUGACUCAGCAAAAAUGACAGUGACUCUGCAAAAAAAGAUUAACACUCAAAAACCACUAAAAGGGGUUCGGACGUUUGUACUAAGUGAAGGAAACUUCACUAAAGGGUGGUGGUAGAAGCCUUAGUCAUGGGCGUGACUCAGCAAAAAUGACAAUGACUCAGUGAAAAAAGAUUAACACUCAGAAACCACCGAAAUGGGUUCGGACGUGAGUUAAGUGAAGAAAACACUAAAGGAUGGUGGUAGAAGCCAUAGUCAUGAUCAUGACUCGGGAAAAAUGACUAUGACUCAGCAAAAAAAGAUUACCACUCAAAAAUAACUGAAAUAGGUUCGGACUUGGGUACUAAGUGAAGGAAAAACUAAAGGUCAAUGGUUAAAGUCAUAGUCAUGAGCGUGGUCUCCUAGGCAUUGCUAAAGGGACUCCUGAGGAAUCGACGUGAAUGUCAUGACAUGCAUGUCAUGUAGGUCAUGAAAAAGCCACCUACGUCUUGGUGUUCUCAUGGUCGUUUCGUUAACUUGGUAGGCUCCCUGCACACUGCUUCGCAUAACAUAGAUUCCCACAGGGCGUGGGAUUUGCCUGGCUUUUUUUUAUUUUACUUACACUUUCGAACGAGGCUGUUGGACUGUUCAAGUUCAUUAUUGCAGACAUUGCUUGAACUCAUUGUAUUUAUUUCAUUUUAUGACUGCAAUAAAUAUUUUUCAUAUGACCUUUAUUUGUUCUUCAAUGUUGGGAUAGUGCUUAGCAUACAUCGCUUAUAACAUAAGUCGCUGGAGUUGCGAAUUUCCACACUUUCACCAAAACAUUUUUCAAAUGCAUGUAUGUGCAAAACAUGUAGACUAAGCAGCCACUGGAAUCGAGGCAUACGACUGCAAUAUGCCCUCACUUUCGUUGGCGAGG